rnacentral:lncRNA from 1 species
GCUUAAUAGUUCUAAUUCCAGAUGGAGGAGCUCUCCUGUCAGAAGGCACAACAUACAUUCUAUUAAAAUAGAUACUCAAGACUUCCUGCUGGCCACUUUAGGCUUCUUAUUUGAUUGGGUCUGGACUACAUAAUAUCCUUUACAGUGUAUCUCUUGGUGUCACUUGGUCCUAUAUUUAAAGUCAAGUGGAAAUUAAAAACAAACAAAUCCAGAUAGUAUGACAAUGAGCUUCUUAAGGAAUGAAGAUAUGGAUCACUCCUCCAGAAAAACAAACAAACAAACAAAAACGAAAACCAAUACCUGCUAAGGUACUUACUGAGGGUGGAGAAAAUAAAGAAUGGGUACAGAGUAGUUAGUUUUACCUACCAAUUAAGGUUUUGUGACCAGCUUUACAAAUAAGUGUUGUAUUUGAAGUAAAUGUGCAAUUUUGUAGGGAAUGUGGUGGGCAUAUAUACCUGUAUAUUAGACAGGUUUAUGUGGAUUUUUACUUCCAUUUCACUACCAUGAAAUGUACAACAGAUGGGGAUAUUAUCAAUUGUUAAAUAUAUGCUUGUAGUAAAGUAAAAUGAGGCUAAAAACUAAUUAUUAGACACUGAGUUUGAUUUACAUGUUGAUUUUCUUAAGGCACUAUUUGCAUUAUAUAUUUGCCAGCAUGACUUCACUUGCUACCUGGAAAAAUAGCUAAAAUAAUGAGUUGACCUUACCCAACUGCUGAUGGACACAUAUGUUUCUAUAAAUUUUCACUUGUUGGGUCACUUCACUUUGAAAAUACUAAAUAUAAAAUGAGGGUUCCAAGUAGAUAUAUUCCUGAAGCCUUCUUGGAACUAUUCCACCUGUCCUAUAUCCUCCCCUUCACUCUCAUUGGUAUUAGGAUGCUUAUCUCAGAAAGAUUCCCACAAUAAUUUUUGUAUGAUGGAUAGUUAUAUAAUAUUUGACCGAAUUAUUACAAGGCUAUUGUUUUCAUUUGGAAAUUAAGCCAAUUUAAGAAUAUGUGUUUAUGUGCCAAGUUAACAAAUGAAAAACUUAUGAUGAUUAAUAUGUGCCACAGACCCUCUGGGUCACUGUGUCUGCGUGGAACGGGGUCUCUUAACACGGGUGGGCAAAACGUGGAUAAAUGACAGACAGACGCACACAGGAGAGUUUGUGUGGAAUCUGAAUGUAUUUUCCAAAUCAAGCAUCAGACUUUUUAUGCAGAAGACAAUAAAGAAAUUGGGUGACAUAUCCGCAAGGUACAAUUGAGGUAACCGGAUGCUUAAUGACUCUUACACAUAACAGAGGAAUGAAAAUGCAAAGACUGGCAGGAACUGGGCAAUAAAAUAACUGAGACAGAGUCAGCCCUAUCCAAGGUCAGUUAAAGUCUUAGAAGCCAGGUGUGAGAACAUUUCUCUCCUAGGGCAAGGGCUUUCACACCCAAGUCAUGGUUCUAACUAGGGAGUUCCAUUCUAGCUAACCAUCUCAUGAAUAAUGCAAUACUCAAAAACCACAGCCAGAUCUACUUCCUAAACCAUUGUAAAUUCCUGUAUAUAGGCAUAACUCAGCUAUAAUUCUAAAUAUCUAUUCUGGUUUCUCCUACGGUCAGAAACGUCUUUCUUCCUUAGUGAUGGUAAAUUCCUGUGAAGGGCAGUGACCUAACUUUUACUCAAAGAGAUAGUGUAAUACCAGGGGCAGUACUGAAUUCCAAGCCCAAGGUCUUGCUAAGGACGAACUAGGACUGUUGGAACACUGGCGGACGGCUUUAGCUAUGUCAGAAUUCAAUCUUAAAAGGCACUUAUGAUAGGAAAAUAUUGAAAUAGAGCACGUGGAUCCAUGCACUAGACUAACGCGGGAAUGGAACGCGGGAAUGAAAAAUUACUGUAUGGGUACGGAACGCUACACUCCAGGAGGAGAGCUUCCUUGAAACUCUUUUGCCUCAUGAGUUUCAUUAGGUCCCAUUUGUCAAUUCUCGAUCUUACAGCACAAGCCAUUGAUGUUCUGUUCAGGAAUUUUUCCCCUGUGCCCAUAUCUUCAAGGCUUUUCCCCACUUUCUCCUCUAUAAGUUUCAGUGUCUCUGGUUUUAUGUGAAGUUCCUUGAUCCACUUAGAUUUGACCUUAGUACAAGGAGAUAAGUAUGGAUCGAUUCGCAUUCUUCUACAUGAUUACCACCAGUUGUGCCAGCACCAAUUGUUGAAAAUGCUGUCUUUCUUCCACUGGAUGGUUUUAGCUCCCUUGUCGAAGAUCAAGUGACCAUAGGUGUGUGGGUUCAUUUCUGGGUCUUCAAUUCUAUUCCAUUGGUCUACUGGUCUGUCUCUAUACCAGUACCAUGCAGUUUUUAUCACAAUUGCUCUGUAGUAAAGCUUUAGGUCAGGCAUGGUGAUUCCACCAGAGGUUCUUUUAUCCUUGAGAAGACUUUUUGCUAUCCUAGGUUUUUUGUUAUUCCAGAUGAAUUUGCAAAUUGCUCCUUCUAAUUCGUUGAAGAAUUGAGUUGGAAUUUUGAUGGGGAUUGCAUUGAAUCUGUAGAUUGCUUUUGGCAAGAUAGCCAUUUUUACAAUGUUGAUCCUGCCAAUCCAUGAGCAUGGGAGAUCUUUCCAUCUUCUGAGAUCUUCUUUAAUUUCUUUCUUCAGAGAUUUGAAGUUUUUAUCAUAUAGAUCUUUCACUUCCUUAGUUAGAGUCACGCCAAGAUAUUUUAUAUUAUUUGUGACUAUUGAGAAGGGUGUUGUUUCCCUAAUUUCUUUCUCAGCCUGUUUAUUCUUUGUAUAGAGAAAGGCCAUUGACUUGUUUGAGUUUAUUUUAUAUCCAGCUACUUCACCGAAGCUGUUUAUCAGGUUUAGGAGUUCUCUGGUAGAAUUUUUAGGGUCACUUAUAUAUACUAUGAUAUCAUCUGCAAAAAGUGAUAUUUUGACUUCCUCUUUUCCAAUUUGUAUCCCCUUGAUCUCCUUUUGUUGUCGAAUUGCUCUGGCUAAUACUUCAAGUACUAUGUUGAAAAGGUAGGGAGAAAGUGGGCAGCCUUGUCUAGUCCCUGAUUUUAGUGGGAUUGCUUCCAGCUUCUCUCCAUUUACUUUGAUGUUGGCUACUGGUUUGCUGUAGAUUGCUUUUAUCAUGUUUCGGUAUGGGCCUUGAAUUCCUGAUCUUUCCAGAACUUUUAUCAUGAAUGGGUGUUGGAUCUUGUCAAAUGCUUUUUCUGCAUCUAAUGAGAUGAUCAUGUGGUUUUGUCCAGUUGACUCGACUGGAGAGCAUAGCAAAUAUGGUUGUCAAUUUGAAUAUAUCUAAUGUCC